UGGCACUGAAACACGGGCCAGACUCCUACGGGAGGCAGCAGUGGGGAAUCUUGCACAAUGGGGGAAACCCUGAUGCAGCGACGCCGCGUGAGCGAUGAAGCCCUUCGGGGUGUAAAGCUCUUUCGGCAGGGAAGAUUAUGACGGUACCUGCAGAAGCAGCUGCGGCUAACUACGUGCCAGCAGCCGCGGUAAUACGUAGGCAGCAAGCGUUGUUCGGAGUUACUGGGCGUAAAGGGUGUGUAGGCGGUGAUUUAAGUUUGGUGUGAAAUCUCCCGGCUUAACCGGGAGGGUGCGCCGAAUACUGAAUGACUUGGAGUGCGGGAGAGGAAAGUGGAAUUCCUGGUGUAGCGGUGAAAUGCGUAGAUAUCAGGAGGAACACCGGUGGUGUAGACGGCUUUCUGGACCGUAACUGACGCUGAGACACGAAAGCGUGGGUAGCAAACAGGAUUAGAUACCCUGGUAGUCCACGCCCUAAACGAUGCAUAUUUGGUGUGGGCAGUUCAUUCUGUCCGUGCCGGAGCUAACGCGUUAAAUAUGCCGCCUGGGGAGUACAGUCGCAAGGCUGAAACUCAAAGGAAUUGACGGGGGCCCGCACAAGCGGUGGAGCAUGUGGUUCAAUUCGACCACGCGAAGAACCUUACCUGGGCUCGAACGGCUGGUCAACGGAGGUGGAAACAUCUUUACCCCGCAAGGGGGUCCAGUCGAGGUGCUGCAUGGCUGUCGUCAGCUCGUGUCGUGAGAUGUUGGGUUAAGUCCCGCAACGAGCGCAACCCCUGUCCUGUGUUGCCAUCAUUCAGUUGGGAACUCGCAGGAGACCGCCAGCGAUAAGUUGGAGGAAGGUGGGGAUGACGUCAAGUCCUCAUGGCCUUUAUGUCCAGGGCUACACACGUGCUACAAUGGACGGUACAAUACGUCCCGAACCCGCGAGGGGGAGGCAAUCGGAAAAAACCGUUCUCAGUUCGGAUUGCAGGCUGCAACUCGCCUGCAUGAAGCUGGAAUCGCUAGUAAUGGCAGAUCAGCACGCUGCCGUGAAUACGUUCCCGGGCCUUGUACACACCGCCCGUCACAUCACGAAAGUGGAUUGUACUAGAAGUCUGCAGGCUGACCCGCAAGGGGGGCAGCGGCCCAAGGUAUGAUCCAUGAUUGGGGUGAAGUCGUAACAAGGUAGCCGUAGGAGAACCUGCGGCUG
rnacentral:rRNA from 1 species